GGAAGAGAGAGUCAGUGCUCUGAGGAGCGGCCCAUGAGAAAACACUGAGAAGCAUCAAGAGGAAAUUCUGACUUGGUCCAACCUCAAUGUCACUGCCUCCAUCAGCUCAAAUAACUUUCUGGAAUCUGUGUUAUCACCUCUGUAAUGGCAUAUCUGACCUGAGAAAAUUUGCCACUGAAACUAAUGUAACUAUUGAGCAAUUGACAUGGUUGCCUGGGAUCUGGGGAAGCUUAUUUUCUUCAGGGCUUUCCAUAUUCCUACAUUUUUCAAAAGAAGUCCACAAUCCCUGAUCUUAUUCAACUGGUAAUUUCAGAGAGAAGUCAAAAGACGUUCUCAGCUGGUUUGUGGUGAUAAUGAUUUCUCAGGAAAUACCCAUUAGAAACAUGUGUGUCUCAAUUGCUUCUCGCUUUGAAUUUCUGGCAAGAGAAAUAGUCCAGAGUUUUAUAUGGCUCUUAAUAGAUUGUAGGUUUUAUUUAUGGAAAUUUUUAAGGUUUUCCAUAACCUGGCCACAUUUGAUGGACUUUACUAGCACAACUAAUCUGUGAUUCCUUAGUGAGUAGAAAAGUUUAGUUUAGUAUGAAUGUUCUUUGGUUUUGAAAGUAUUUUCCAUAUCUUUUUACCAGGAAAAGAAUUCUCAGUAACCAUGUAAUUUGAGUAUCACAAGUACAAUGACUCAGUUUUAGCUGACACAAUUUUAUUUUUCCCUUUUGUUUAUGGAUUAGUACAUUGCUUGUUUUGAAUUACUUCCCUAAAAACUUAUCAAAGGGGACAAAAAUAUAUCCAUUGUCUGUGUCUAAUACAUGUUGUAGGAAUUAACAUUACAUACCACAGCAAUUUGAAUUUAUGAAGAUAAUUCUGAACAUGAAUCUGAGUUUUAAAGGUAGAUAAUAGGCAGAUAGUAUCCACUGAAACGAGGAAAAUAUGCAUGCAAAUUGUGUGGAAUGCUUUGAAGAGCUCAGCAGUAGUCUUUUUUUUAUUAGACCAAUAUCAGUGAAAAAAUAGUUGCCUUUUUUUCAUGGGUCGUAGUCAAUACAGUGCCCACAUGGGGUACAAAACCUGAUUUUCAUCCAUAAGGUGAAUUUUUUGAGGAACUUGGCUUCAAAUGGUAGUACCAAAAGGAAUGAGUGGAUAUUUUAUUUUUGCUUCUGUAGUUCUAUCUGUGGUAUGAGAACCUGGUGCUCUGAGCUGGAUCAAAGAGAUAGAAAGUGCCCAUGCUAAUCUGAACUUGUUUAGUAUUGCUUUGAAGCAGGAACAAUAUCAGGUCCUGUUGCUGCAUUAGGACUGCUAUUUUCUUUUUAGUUUGCUUGCAAAAGAAAAAUGGCCGUAAUUGUAUUUUUCUCUGAAGGCAAAUAUCACAAGGUUUUUACAGCAAUACAGGCAGGCUGAGUAUUCUCAAAGGUCUGUGAAGGAAGAAAGGGAUUUUACUAUUCAAUUAACAGUUUAGAUUUUUUUUAAGCCUAAUUACCUGCAGAACCACAAACCCACAAAACUAGCACAGGCUUGGAGACUGACUAAUGACUAUGAACUCACAUAAAGAAUGACCUCAACACAUGGACCUUUUUUAAGUGCACUAAAGAAAUAAUAGAAGAGGCGUACAGCCUCUCCUCCAUCAGAGUGCAGAACUCACUGAGAACUGGAUGAUUGCAGCUGACCAGUGGGAUGUAACCCCCCAGUGACAGUAAAAGAAGAUGAGAUUUCCAGACUCCAUCAUUAUAGCAUGAGUUGAAUUAACUGAGCAUUCCACUGAUUUCAGUCACCUUUUUUCAACAGUGAUGUGAUGAUUUUGGCCAGGGGUAGAGCUCAUUUUCUUCACGAUGGCUGGUAUGGGAUUGUGUUUUGCCUUUGUGCUAAAAUGAUGAUGAUACUACAGAGAUAUUUUUGCUACUGCUAAACAAUAUUUGCAGACUGUUAAGGCCUUUUCUACUCCCCACUAGUCAGGAGACUGGGAGUGCUCAGGAAUUUGGGAGGGAAUGCAGCCGGGAAAGCUGAUUCCAAAUGACUGAAAGGGAUAUCCCAUAUCAUAUGAUUUCAUGGUCAGCAUAUAAGGUGGUGGAGAAAGGAGGAAGGUGUGGACCUUUGGAAGGAUGAUGUUUGUCUGCCCAAGUCACCAUUACACAUAGAGAGCCCUGCUCUCUAUGACUUCCUUGUAUGCUUUGCUAGAAUGCAUAGUGUUUGCUUUAACUAUAUCUCAGUCCACAAGUGGUUUUUUUUUUAAUUUUUACUUUUCCAGUCCUCUCUCUGAUACCACAAUGGGAAGGAAGAAGCAAGAUAUUGCAUGACAUUUACUUGUUGGCUUGGGUUAAACUACAUCAAUCCUUUUUGGCAUCCAGUAUAGGGCUCACAUAUUCAAGAUAAUAACAGGUUUGGUUGGCAUGUGCUGGGUUGAAUUUAUGUCUGUUAUUGCUGUUUAGCAGUAAAUCAGCAAGCUCCUGUGCUUGCCGUGGGGCUCACUUGCCAGACUGUACACUGGACUCUUGAGCUUGCUAGCAGCUGCUUUUUGCCUUCUCCACUCACUGCAGUGCUGUGCUGCUGAUCACCUCCCUCUGCUGUGCCUGGGAACCCUCUGAUAGCAGCCACAGCAAUGUGCUUGGGCUGGCAGGUGGCCAGGACAUCGCUGCUGUGCCCAAGCUGAUGUUCCUGUGCUGCUGUACUGAACAGGCUGCAAUUCCAGUGUCAAUUUGAGUCAGUGUCCCUGGGAUGAGUCCACAGUGGAGCACAUAUCCACCACCUACAGCCUGUGGAGGACCCCACACUGAAGCAGGUGGAUGCAGCUGAGGAGGGCUGUGAAUUGGAAAGCCUUUAAUGGAUCUAGCUGGUGGCAGAGCCUGUAGACCUGUGGAGAAAGAAGCCCUGCUGGAACAGAUCUACUGGCAGGACUUGUGACACGCUGGAACAGUCUCUUCUGAGGGAAUUUUACCCCAAGGAAGGGAUUCACACUAGAGCAGUUAACUGCAGCCUAUGGAAAAGUUCAAGAAGGGCUGUCUUCUGUGGGGAGAACCCCACAGUGGAGCAGGGAAAGAGGAGAUUCUCCUGCAGCCCAUGACGGAUCUCAUGGUGAGGCAGGAUGUCCCCUUGAAGACCAUGGAAUUUUGUGGUGGACUGUAGCAGGAACUCCUUGCUGGUAACAAAGGUAGGGGUGAGGGGAGGAGUUCACUACAAUAUUGAACAUGAUGCUCUGGCCCAAAGGGACUAGAGGUGCAUAUUAUAGUAAAUAUGUCUUUUUAAGUCAGUGUUUAAGGCCUGGUUGGAUAAGACUUUGACCAAUCUGAUCUAGUGGGAGGUGACCCUGCACAUGGCGAGGAGGACUGGGACUAGGUGAUCUUUAAAGUCCCUUUGAAUGCCUCAUAAUUCUGUGAUUCUAAGAUGUUGUAACCCAUGGCUUGAGCUACAAGUUGUAGGAAUUGCUUGAAUGGGAACCCCCUCAUCCGAGGGAGGGGGAGACUUCACUAAGCUGUGCAACAGUGAACUAACCUGAGCUGGCAUUGGUGCCCAGUAACUCCACACAACAUGCUCCUGUCUCGAGUGACUGCCAUACCUGACAUCCCAGAAGCAAAUCCAUGCACAAAUAUAUCACAAAGUUUAAUAUUAAACUGUCCACAACAUCUUUGUUUCAGUUACUUUCACGCUGAUACUUAUGGCAAGAUAGACUUAUUUAUUCUGAAAAUGCAACAAAAAAAAUCCUAACUGCUGCAACUGACACUGAAACACACAAAGCCCAAUUACUUAUAUUCCACUGAUGGAUAUGUUCUGCAAGUUAGAAUGAAUUUCUGUCCCACAGGAAUUGAAAAAUUUUCAGGAUUUUAAGCAAUGUGAAAACUGAAAUGCUAUGUGUUUCUGAAUGAAUAAUCACUGAUCUUUUCUUCUUUGCUAAUAAGUCUGAGCUACAGCUUAUGUUAUGAACCAAACCAAAUGUUACAAACCAAAACUCUAGGAACACUUGAGUCUUUUGGAAUACAUAGUAAGCACUGAAAUACACGGGAAAGUACACUAUAUGAGAAAAGUGCUACUUUUCAUGCAGUUAAAUAGAAUAAUAACUUAUGUUUAACCACCCUUUCCAGGUAAAUUCCCUGAAACGGAUAGGCACUGCUGUGAUCACUGAUAAUGUGUUCUUCUUCACUGUCAUCCCACAUUGGUGCCCAUUCAGCUUUCCCAGUGAAACAGUAUAGUUAUUACAGUAUACAGUGAAACAGUAUGGUUAUUAUUACAACUCCAUUUUCUUUGCAAUUAGGAGAGGAAUCAGGAUGUCAUUCAUACAACAUCAUUACCUCCUUCAGGCUAAAAGACAAACCUGACAAUACUCCAUUCAGAAAUAUCAGAAUCGAGUUAUUAGCCAUAGAAAUUAGCUAUGGCAGCCUGUCUUAAUCUUUGCCCACAUAUGUGCACACUUUUAACACAGCUACAUAAUGGCAGAGGCAAUAUAUAGAAGACAAGCAAAGCCUCAUUCUUCUCUACCUUGUUUCAAAGCACAUGGCAAACCUUGCAAUAUUAACUGAUGCAGGCCUACUUCUGCUGGAGGUAGGAUUUUUUUAAACUUCCACAGUAUUGGAUACUCCUGCUAGACUCAAUAGAAUCUCCAUAAAGAUGACUUGUUGCUAUUAUAUCAUAAAGCUGAGAAGGAAUGUGAUGGGAGUAUACAUUUCCACGCAUUUCCCCCUUGAUCAUCCAGUCUACCAACAGUCUAAUGCAGCUCUAUAUCUUGCUCAAUGCCAGAUGAGAAGGGAGGCAGGGCAGGUACUAGCGAUACUUGAAAAAAUCUGGUAAUUAUAGCUCUACUAUAAGACAAAGCUAGUUUAGGUGUUUACAAAAUUUCUAUUCUGUACAGAGUAAUCAUUUAAAAGACAAAUCCCAGAGAGAACCAGCUUGCCAUAAACUACUAAAGGUAGUGGACCCAGUCAUUUCUCAUGGCUGUAAUGACAACUAAGAAAAGUUACAGGACAAAUAUUAUCAGUCUUGACUGUCAGUGUUUUUAUGGACUGUAUUUGCUCCAGCAGCCUCAACAUAAAAAGACUCACGGCUCCAGUACUUCCCUGACACUAUACUGAACAAUUCAGAACAUAUUUUGUCUCAAGACAUUCUUCAGAGGAUAUUUCUGAAACAAUAACUUGACUUCACAUCCUGUUGCAGAAAAAACAACUCUUUAAACCACCUUUGAGAAAUACAUGCUUGCUCUACUCCAUCUCUAGUCAUCUACCAUUCUUUCACAUACCUUUUAAUUAAGUGAUACCCUGAAGAGAUUUUCUUUUCAUGAAGUAAAGCUGUCUUCUUAUAAGAACUUUUGAUAUAGAUUGUGUUUCUCAUGAAACUCAUGUUGCUUUAAUUUUAAAUUCUACCAUUUGAUCACUUAAUCAGGCAGUGGCAGAUUAAAAAAAAAAUUCAAAUAAUUUCAUUUUCACUUCUCCUCGCUUGCUUUAUCUUUAAUCAAAUGUGAACAAUACUACUAAUUUUCAGCACAUUCUUUUUCAUUUUUUUUUAUCCAAGAGUGUUAAGUCACAUUGUUUAGGAAAGACAAGAAAUUUCACUCUGAAGUUUGCUAGUCAGAUUGUUAUGAAUUCCAUAGCUUGUCAAAUAUCCACUUGGAAUGAAAUUGUGUGAUCUCACAAAUGUGGGCUGAUUGCACCAUCAUCUACACAUCUUCUAGACACUUAAUCUUGAUUCUCCAUCACUUUGUACCUUGAGUCAUCACCUCCUGACAUUGAAAGCCAAGAGUGUAUAAACACACAGCUCAGGAGAUCACCCAGAAUUUCCAUCAUUCUCUCCUGAGUAUAAGAAGAAAUCAGAAAAAGUGGUCUGCAAGUCAUAAUUUCCUGAAACAGGGGAGAGGAGAUUAAAAGAGAAAGCAUAGAGGAAUUUCCAACAGAAACCUUUCACAGGAUGUGAAAUCUUUCACCUGCUUCUCACACUUACUAUGAAGAUAUUAAUAUUCUGGUUAGGAACGAAUAGCAGCAUGCUUACACAAACUCAUCACGAAUAUCAAUUCAUCUCUGAAAAGCUUUUCAUGACUUGUUUCUCUGGUUUUGAUGAAAACUUCACAAGUUCUCUAUCCCUUAUCAUCAACUAUGAUAACAUAAAUAUAUAUCUUUUUAUUAGGAAAAUAAAAAAGAGUGUAGACCAGAGUGACAAAAUCACUCAAUCUAUAUGUGGUGAAGGUACAAGGUUUGGGGGUAAUUAUAUGUCUGUAUGAUUUGACUUUAUAUAUCUGUAUACAUAAACUACAGUGAAAAUAUUCAGUAAAAAAUAUUAUUGGCUUCCUUAAGCCCUGCAUUUUCAAAUCAGUAUGCGUAAGUGUUUGCAUUUAUGUGUCUAAAUGGAGUUUGAUGUAUUUGAUUUGGUUCAUUUUAUGUUGCAUAUAUAGUUCAUACUAUGAUAUUAUGAUAUAACUACAUAUUUAGGAAUAUAAUAUAUGAUAAGGUAGUAAAUAUUUGUGCAAAUAUUAUUUUGUCUAUGUUUCUUACAGUGAACAAAUAUUUUCUCUGUGUCCCAUUGUUUUUCAAAGUUUUAUUUUGUUUUUUAAUCAGAGAAACUAGAAAUUGCUCAUUAGGCCCACAAGAAGCAUGUAAUUUGUAUAUUGAUGUAACUCUUGUCAUGACUCUAUGAAAGUCUGCCAGAAAGGAAAAGAGAACAAAUAGAAGGAAUCACUGCCGAGUGCUGCCCCUUUUCCAAGAUACUGUCACAUUGAAAGUGGAUUUGCCUGCACCUCUUCCAUGCCCUUGUGAUGAGCCAACCUCACGUCAAGUCUUCACGUAUCUGUAGACCUGCAGACCAAGAGGACAAGGGAAGACUCCUAAGAUGAAUGGGCUGUCUGGAUGAGAGCCACCUGGAGUGAAGUCAGGACUGAGCAGUAACUGGGGGAGAGAUAACUCCAGCAGUGGGAGAUCAUGACCACCAUUUCAGUGACCACCAACU